GAAAAAAAGAUUUUUGCUCUGCUGCCGAAAACGCUCCAGAGGAGCUGCAGACCAAUAUGGUAUCAGUUUGCGCUAUUCCCUCAGAGUAUAAUCCACUCCCGAAAAAGAGAAGAUCCUUCACACGAGUCCCUGGAGGCAGAAAUUGGUAGUCACCUUCUUGCGCGUGUAUCUCCGGAGGACAUAAUUCGGAUACCUGGCCAGCAUACCGACCGACAAUGCGACAGAAGAUAAGUGGAAAACCAGAUCAAGAAGGCCAGCAUAUCUUUUGGGCGACCACGAAUAAAAUGUAGCAGCCCCAUGGUAUCAAGCUCCAGACCAAACCUAAAGGUUGGCAGCACUAUAACUUGGUCAAACUUCUCUACAGCUGUGAGAUUCUGGACUUCCCACAGAUGCUAAAUCCAACACCUAAAGCAGUUCCAUCAGUGUAUACAGUGUACAAACCCUAUACUCAACAUCAAAUGGCAGGACAAGUUCACUAACAACCCAGUGCUAGAAUGAAGUCAGGCUCCUAGCACUGAAAUAAUGCUCACAGCCUCACAACUGUGCUGGGUAGGACACAUGACAAGAAGGGGCAAAAGCAAGGUAUCCAAGCAGCUGCUGCAUGGUGAACUGGAAUUAGGAAACCAAAAGCCAGGAGAACAGAAGAAACAGCUUGAGGAUAGAGUAAAAUAAAGCCUCAGACGAUGCUGCAUCCCAGCUGAAAACUGAGAAUCAAUGGCUUAAUAUAGAACGGCAAGGCACACUGCAAUCAGAAGUUCCAUCAGGAAUGUGAACCGAGGAGGCAAAGGUGAAGACAGUUUCAGGAGCUACAAGCAACCAUCAUGACGGCAACUCCAAGGGUCAGCCUUAUUGUGGGCACAAUGUGGUCGACUCGGGUGGGUCCCGCAUUGGCCUUUCCAUUCACGCAUGAAUCCAUGGGUAAAUUUUACUGUCAAUGGUAUCUUAUUCUAGUUCAAAGGAUGACUAUGUACCUGAAUAUAGUAAAUUUAAUUUCUUCUCAAAAA